rnacentral:rRNA from 1 species
CCUACGGGAGGCAGCAGUGGGGAAUAUUGGGCAAUGGAGGCAACUCUUACCCAGCAAUGCCGCGUGAAUGAAGAAGGUCUUCGGAUUGUAAAGUUCUUUAAUUGGGGACGAAAAAAAUGACGGUACCCAAGGAAUAAGCCCCGGCUAACUACGUGCCAGCAGCCGCGGUAAUACGGAGGAUGCGAGCGUUAUCCGGAUUUAUUGGGUUUAAAGGGUGCGUAGGCGGACUGGAAAGUCAGCGGUAAAAUCGAGAGGCUCAACCUCUUUCCGCCGUUGAAACUGUCGGUCUUGAGUGGGCGAGAAGUAUGCGGAAUGCGUGGUGUAGCGGUGAAAUGCAUAGAUAUCACGCAGAACUCCGAUUGCGAAGGCAGCAUACCGGCGCCCGACUGACGCUGAGGCACGAAAGCGUGGGUAUCGAACAGGAUUAGAUACCCGAGUAGUC